rnacentral:rRNA from 1 species
UACGGGGGGGGCAAGCGUUGUUCGGAAUUACUGGGCGUAAAGGGCGCGUAGGCGGCCUACUAAGUCGGACGUGAAAUCCCUCGGCUCAACCGGGGAACUGCGUCCGAUACUGGUGGGCUUGAAUCCGGGAGAGGGAUGUGGAAUUCCAGGUGUAGCGGUGAAAUGCGUAGAUAUCUGGAGGAACACCGGUGGCGAAGGCGACAUCCUGGACCGGUAUUGACGCUGAGGCGCGAAAGCCAGGGGAGCAAACGGG